rnacentral:rRNA from 1 species
AUACGGAGGAUCCGAGCGUUAUCCGGAUUUAUUGGGUUUAAAGGGUGCGCAGGCGGCCAUUUAAGUCAGCGGUUAAAUCGUGGGGCUCAACCCCAUUCUGCCGUUGAUACUGGGUGGCUUGAUUGCGGUCGAGGUUGGCGGAAUUCGUUGUGUAGCGGUGAAAUGCAUAGAAAUGACGAAGAACACCGAUUGCGUAGGCAGCUGACCAGACCGCAAAUGACGCUCAUGCACGAAAGUGCGGGGAUCGAACAGGAUUAGAUACCCUGGUAGUCCGCGCAGUAAACGAUGAAUACUUGUUUUCGGCGAUAUAAUGUCGGAGGCAAAGCGAAAGCGAUAAGUAGUCCACCUGGGGAGUACGCCGGCAACGGUGAAACUCAAAUGAAUUGACGGGG